rnacentral:rRNA from 1 species
CGACGCCGCGUGAGGGAUGACAGGCCUUCGGGUUGUAAACCUCUUUCGCUCAUGGUCAAGCCGCAACUGAGGNUGGUGGGAGGGGUAGGGGUAAAGAAACGNCCGCUAACUACCUGCCCACAGCCGCGGUAAUUCCUAAGGGGCGAGCGUUGUCCGGAAUUAUUGGGCGUAAAGGGCUUGGAAGCGGUUGGUCCCGUCUGCCCUGAAAUCCUCUGGCUUAACUGGGGGCGUGCCGGGGGUACCGGCUGACUUGAAUGCGGUAGGGGAAACUGGAACUCCCGGUGUAACGGUGGAAUGCCCAAAAUUCAAGAAAAACCCCGGUGGCCAAAGCGGGUCUCUUGGCCCGUACUGACCCUUAAGAACGAAAACGUGGGGAGCGAACAGGAAUAAAUACCCUGGUAGUCCACCCUGUAAACCUUGGGCACUAAGUGGGGGGGCCACCCCUGGUUUCCGCCCCCUAACUUACGCUUUAAGUGGCCCCCCCGGGGAAUACCGGCCCCAGGCUUAAA